rnacentral:rRNA from 1 species
CAGUCGCCGCGGUAAUACGGAGGGUGCAAGCGUUAAUCGGAAUUACUGGGCGUAAAGCGCACGCAGGCGGUUUGUUAAGUCAGAUGUGAAAUCCCCGAGCUUAACUUGGGAACUGCAUUUGAAACUGGCAAGCUAGAGUCUUGCAGAGGGGGGUAGAAUUCCAGGUGUAGCGGUGAAAUGCGUAGAGAUCUGGAGGAAUACCGGUGGCGAAGGCGGCCCCCUGGACAAAGACUGACGCUCAGGUGCGAAAGCGUGGGGAGCAAACAGGAUUAGAUACCCGUGUAGUCCCUGUCUCUUAUAC